rnacentral:rRNA from 1 species
AUACGGAGGGUGCGAGCGUUAAUCGGAAUUACUGGGCGUAAAGCGUGCGUAGGUGGUUAUUUAAGCAAGAUGUGAAAGCCCAGGGCUCAACCUUGGAACUGCAUUUUGAACUGGAUGGCUAGAGUAUUGUAGAGGGUGGUGGAAUUUCCAGUGUAGCGGUGAAAUGAGUAGAGAUUGGAAGGAACAUCAGUGGCGAAGGCGGCCACCUGGACAACUACUGACACUGAGGCACGAAAGCGUGGGGAGCGAACAGAAUUAGAAACCCCUGUAGUCC